rnacentral:snRNA from 1 species
AUCGCUUCUCGGCCUUUUGGCUAAGAUCAAAGUGUAGUAUCUGUUCUUAUCAGCUUUGAUAUUAAACUGAUUCUUGGACUUAGGCAAAGAGUUUGGGGCUUGCUCCACCUUUGCCGCGGGUUGGCCUGGUAUUGCAGUACUUCCAGGAUUGGCCCACUCCCU